rnacentral:rRNA from 1 species
UGGGGAAUUUUGGACAAUGGGCGCAAGCCUGAUCCAGCCAUGCCGCGUGCGGGAAGAAGGCCUUCGGGUUGUAAACCGCUUUUGUCAGGGAAGAAACGCUCUGGGCUAAUACCCUGGGGUAAUGACGGUACCUGAAGAAUAAGCACCGGCUAACUACGUGCCAGCAGCCGCGGUAAUACGUAGGGCGCAAGCGUUAAUCGGAAUUACUGGGCGUAAAGCGUGCGCAGGCGGUUAUGCAAGACAGAUGUGAAAUCCCCGGGCUCAACCUGGGAACUGCAUUUGUGACUGUAUAGCUAGAGUACGGUAGAGGGGGAUGGAAUUCCGCGUGUAGCAGUGAAAUGCGUAGAUAUGCGGAGGAACACCGAUGGCGAAGGCAAUCCCCUGGACCUGUACUGACGCUCAUGCACGAAAGCGUGGGGAGCAAACAGGAUUAGAUACCCCAGUAGUCCCUGAGCGGGCUGGCAAGGCGCAU